UCGGGAAUUUUGGGCAAUGGGCGAAAGCCUGACCCAGCAACGCCGCGUGAAGGAUGAAGUAUUUCGGUAUGUAAACUUCGAAAGAAUAGGAAGAAUAAAUGACGGUACUAUUUAUAAGGUCCGGCUAACUACGUGCCAGCAGCCGCGGUAAUACGUAGGGACCAAGCGUUGUUCGGAUUUACUGGGCGUAAAGGGCGCGUAGGCGGCAAUUCAAGUCAUCUGUGAAAUCUCCGGGCUUAACUCGGAACGGUCAGAUGAUACUGCUUUGCUAGAGUGCAGAAGGGGCAAUCGGAAUUCUUGGUGUAGCGGUGAAAUGCGUAGAUAUCAAGAGGAACACCUGAGGUGAAGACGGGUUGCUGGGCUGACACUGACGCUGAGGCGCGAAAGCCAGGGGAGCAAACGGGGAUUAGAUACCCAAGUAGUCCCUGAGCGGGC
rnacentral:rRNA from 1 species